UUUGCACUUUUUCAAUCUUUAAAUAAAAAGGAAACUGAUAAAAAUGGAAAGAUACCCCUAGGCCUUUCCUACUGCGGAUAACGGUAACAAAACAGCAUUAUCCGAUCUAAACUCAGCUGUGCCUCAAACACUAUCAUAAGUGCUGGAAGCGUUAAAGGUACAAGCAACAUUAGCCUAGAAAUGCCUUCGGUAGCCAGACGUGAAUUAAAAGGCUCCUCAGAUGCCGGCGAAAUGUCCUACACGAGUGAGGAAAGGAGAGAAAGAGAACUGAAUAUAGUUAAGUGGACACUGAUCGGAGAGGAAGCAGCACGGGUUCCAGACACCUAACGGGCAGCCUUGGGGAUGCAGUAAAGGCCAACCCUUUCCUUCCCUUCCCUUGAGUGGCCGGACGCCUCACCCAGGAGACGACUCAGGGAACUCAACAACGUCUCGGGAGCAACGGCCUGGCGGAAAAGGAAACGGAGGUCCAGGAAAGGGAUGUGAUUUUCCAAAGACACACCUGUGAAAGGUAAUGAUUUCAUUCAACUGCUCCUAAGUGCCAGGUGCACUAAGAUUGUCUACUAUUUUCACAAUAACCCCAAAACAUCCGUGUUGAACCAUGAAAGGACCUCAGGAAUGAAAGCCACACACAGCAAAGCAACAAGGUAAAAGAGGCAUGAGUUCCUAAUGCAAGAGGCACUGAACAAAUCAAUACACACUGCCUUCCAGACCUCUGCAUGAAAGAAAAAAAACUGCUGUCCUGUGAAGAAGACACUCUGCAGAUGCCAGCAACUUGAUAUUGGACUUCCCAGCCUUCAGAACUGUGAGAAAUAAAUUUAUUUAUUUUCUUUAUAAGUUACCCAGCCUCUGGUAUUCUGUUAUAGCAGCACAAAACAGACUAAGGCAGCCACUGAAACCAGUUCUAUGUCCGGAACCACCCCCAUUUGCCUCAGUUUCUCUCUAUAAUAGGAGCAAAUAAUCUGAAUGUUAUCUAUACUUCCCCAUGACUAAAGGGAGACUAAGAAGGGAAGAUAUAUAUAAUCACACUUUGAAAAGAUAUAAAUGUUAUCCAACCAUACAUCCAUUGUUUCACAUCAGGCUGGGCUAUGUAGCUUCCUCUGUACCCUUUAGUUUCCAGCCCUUAUCUCAAUCACAGACCAUAUAUCAAAUGCCUAGUAAUUAUUAGUGCAUCUCUAUGUCCCCUAUUCUCCUCCCCAACAAUACAUAAAAGGUUAUUGCAUUGCAUUGAAUUAUAAGACUUGAUUACUGGAAAGUCUAGACAUCCACUCAGGGUCAUUGUGGGGCAGCACGGUGAUUAUGCAGUGUCAUUUAUCCACUCAGCACACUGGAGGUCACACCAAUGAAGUAGCAUGUCAGAUGUAAGCAAGACAGAGCUGGGUUGUGAAACUCUGGAAACAGCUGAGCUGGAAGUUUGUGUAAUUUCCUUCCUGCUCAGACAUGGUUCCAUAUAGUAGAUGGAGAGGAGACCUGAUGCUUCUCUAGUAACCUGUUGAGGCCCUGUAAUGCUCUAACUGCAUUCUGUGAAAGCUUUUCCUGUAUUUGUGACCUGCCCAUGGCCAGAGAGAAGAGAUAUUUUCCCUGAGAUUCUUAGAAUCGUAGCACAGAAAUAGAUCUUAUUAUUCAUUUAUUUAUUCCUACAUUUAUGUAUUCAUCUAACAAAGAUUUCUGGAGUACUGUUCUAGGCAUUAAAGAGAUAGUGUUGAGAUGAAUCGAUGUUUUCCUUGUCCUCGUGGAACUUACAGUCAAGAAAAGACAUUAAAGAAAUAAACAUACAAAUAUAUAGUUGAUUCAAGUGCAAGUAGAAAGGAAAAUAGAAAACUGUAAGAGAGGAAACCUGACUUUGAUUGAGUUUUAAUUUUGAGUGGUGAUUUUGAGGAGGCGGAUAGCAUUAUACACAUUGUCUCUGGUCUCAACAACUCUUUGAAGUGCCUAUUACCACAACCGUUGUACAAAUAGGGACACUGAGGCUUAUGGAAAUUGGGUGACUGGGCUAGGGAAGCACUGCUAGUGAGUUUGGAGCAGGCUUUGCUCUCUCUGGCAUUCCAUGCUGCGUAACACAAACCCAGAAGGUGAGAAUUUUCCCACUUCCCAGCUUUGCACAUACCAUGCCUACUUCCACCUAAAACGCCUCGACCUUCAUUCUUAUUGGAUUCAUAUUCUGCCUUCAGCAUCUAGUUGAGGAUCUACUUCCUCUGCAAAGUUCCUCUUUCAAUCUUAAUAAAUCUCUUUUCUUGUUGGAUUCCUGCAACAAUUGCCAAAUAUUACUCACAUGGCAUCAAACCUAGGAUAGCUUGUCAAGUUAAUUGUCUUUUUCACAUGCUUGCCCUGAUGCUCUUACUCAGAGGCCUGCAGGCAGUACAGUGCCAUUAGAGCCAGACAGACUUGGGCCUUCUCCCAGUUCUACUGCUCGUUUGAUGGAUGAGCUGGAGAAAGUUUCUUAAUCUCUCUGAACCUUAGAUUCUUCUUGGAGAAUGAUAAUAUCUGACAAAAUACCUUUAAGUAUUUGUCACAGUACUGAACAGAUAGAUAGCGUUUGAUACUUCUUCUUCUUCUAACCAAUUCCAUGUCCUAGAUUGGAAGCCUCUGGAGGGCAACAACCUGGAAUUCUACUUCGCAAUCUCAGCAACUGGCACAGUGCCCUGUAAAUAGCAGGUGAUUAAUACCUGGUAUAUAAUUAUAGUAAUGACAGCCCUUACCUGCCUACUGGAUCUCUCAUUACUAACAAGGUUUGUUUUAUCCUCUAUUUCUUCCUUUCUUUUUUUCACAAUUUAGAUUCCUUUAAGCCUCUUUGGAACUUGACCCUCUGUUAGAAACAGGUGCUGUUGCAUAUACACUCUCUCUCUCUUCCAAAUUCACCCUGUCAUAUCAAAGGGAAAACUGAAAUGGUCCACUGUAAGACCUGGCUGAUGAUCACAAACAGGAAAUCAGUGAUCAGAGGGCCUACUGAGCUCCCCACCCGGACUGUCACCUAAAGCUACAUUUUACAUAUACAAAAUCCUUGUUUGUUCCACUUUUCUAUCAAAGGACACUAUUAGAUCAUGUCCAAAGAUGGGAAAGUGUUUCAACUUCAACUUACUUCAUUACGUGCCUGAUACUUACUAUUUUCCCUCCAUUUUCCUGCCUGACUUCUUUUAACUCUUCACUCAACAAAUAUCUACUGACUACUGACCACUUGCCAAGUGCUAGGCCAGAGCUAGAUGCUGUACUAUGGACAGAUGAAGUGCUAUGGGCACCUCGAGGAGGAAGAAGAGGGUGAACAAAAGGGGAGAAAAGGCUGCAACAACAUUCACUGAGCACUGUGCGCCCAGGUCUUCACAUAGACUAUGUCAUUAUUCUUUCCAACCACCCACAUGAGUGAAUAGGGGCUAUUGCUGAAGAAACAGAGGCUCAUAAAGGUUGAGCAACUUGCCCAAGGUCAUCUAUCACAAGACGCUACAAGUCAGAAUGCUGAAGAGGGAGUUUCUGCUGAGAAGUUGAGGUAGGCAGCACAUAUUGGAUAUGAAGGUUGCGAAGGAAUGUUAAGUGCUAACGAUCCCUCUAGAUCCAACCUGCAGCACCAGUUUUCUCUUCACAUUUGAACCACUCAUCCACUCCCAGUUCCAAGAUCUCACUCUCCAUCUAAACUAGUCCCACACCAUCCAUAUGUUUCUCCACUAACACCACCCGAUCACCACCCCACAAUCUCUUAGUCAUGAGUCAUUUUUUAAAAACUGCAAACUAUGUAAUGAGCCAUGGCAAUAUGCAACCGUAAACCUCAACGCGUGUUUUCCACAACAAGGCAACAGGUGGCAGAAGUGAGUCUGAGGCCUUAGGAUGCUAAGGCAGGACUCUGGCUUGAGCUUUCCAAAAAGAGAGGUGAGAGAAGGUCUGCCUGAGGGAAGGCAUGCUCAAGGCCUCAAGAUGAGUUGAAGAAGGAGCCCACUGAAGGCUCUGCAGUGCCUGGACUUCAGGUAGAGGAACUAUGCCAUGAACGCCUCUGGAAUCAUGUCAUUUUGGAACAUUUAUAGGACAUCAGUUUUCAAACUAAGUUCUGUGGGAAAGUGCCUGCACAACACAACAAAGGAGAGGCUGAAUGGACUUUGGGUCUUCCAAAAUACCCUUCACACUCACCAAGUUGCUCUCUGCUCUAAGACACCAGGUGAGGGGGCCAAUGGAGAGCGAAAUCCAUUCCCCACUCUGCUGGCCAAUCCCUGUGCCUGUGAGACUGUCACACCAGAGAGGACAGCUUUUCCUAAUUUGCACCAAGUACAGAAUAGGAUAGUAUAGCUUUAUCCUUCUUCCUGCCAUCAGCCACAGACACAUCGACACAUGCACACAGACAGCCACACGAAUAUACCUACAGGCAUACACACAUACAACACAGGCGCAUAUAUGUUUGCACAAACACACAUGUAGACACAAACACAGCAC